CCUACGGGAGGCAGCAGUGGGGAAUAUUGCACAAUGGGGGAAACCCUGAUGCAGCGACGCCGCGUGAGCGAUGAAGUAUUUCGGUAUGUAAAGCUCUAUCAGCAGGGAAGAAAAUGAUGGUAGCUGAUUACGAAGAACCGGCGAACUACGUGCCAGCAGCCGCGGUGAUACGUAGGGGGCAAGCGUUAUCAGGAUUUACUGGGUGGAAAGGGAGCGUAGAAGGCUGUGCAAGCCAGAUGUGAAAGCCCGGGGCUCAACACCGGGACUGCAUUUGAAACUGUGUGGCUGGAGUGUCGGAGAGGCAAGCGGAAUUACUAGGGUAGCGGUGAAAUGCGUAGAUAUUAGGAGGAACACCAGUGGCGAAGGCGGCCUGCUGGACGAUGACUGACGCUGAGGCGCGAAAGCGUGGGGAGCAAACAGGAUUAGAUACCCGGGUAGUC
rnacentral:rRNA from 1 species